rnacentral:rRNA from 1 species
AAGUCGUAACAAGGUUUCCGUAGGUGAACCUGCGGAAGGAUCAUUAACAAUUCCAAACCAAAAUGUAUGGUUAUGGCGUCGAGUUUGACUCUUCACCUACCAUAUCUACCCUUGUGAAUGUACCUAUUGAAUGGCGACGCAAGUUGUCAUGCUUUUGCGCGAUGCUUCGGCUAACGCACUAGCACUUUUAUAAACACCCUUUUUAUAUGAACGAGUGAAUAAUGUCAAUUUGACAUGCCUAUUUUAAAUCGAAAUAACUUUUAACAAUGGAUCUCUUGGCUCUUGCAGCGAUGAAGAACGCAGCAAUAUGCGAUAACUAAUGUGACUCGCACAAGCUCGUGAAUCAUCAAGUUUUUGAACGCACAUUGCACUUCCUGGUAUUCCGGGAAGUACACCUGUUUGAGUAUCAUUUAACCUCUCACGAUGUAUUCUUUUGAAGGAUAUACGUGGAUUUGAGCUUUACGCGGCGCAAGUUGCGAAGCUUUAAAGGUAGCGACUCUAGCUUUGUUUGCUAUACAAGCGUGAUAAAAUCAUUUGUUCGCUUGGCAAGUAGAGUGUGAUGAAUACGUUGUGGAUAAUGCGGACGCUUUCGAGCGUACCCACGAACCCUUUUGAUCUCAAAUCAGGUGGGAGGACCCGCUGAACUUAAGCAUAUCAAUAAGCGGAGGAA